AUUUGGACUAGUGAAGGAAUACUGCCAAGUAGCCUAGGAGAAAGCUAAAAAAGUUGAAGCAGAAAGAGAAGAAAAUGUGACAAAGAGCUCACAAAGCAGGGGCUAAGAGACAGCCAGUCCACCACCCCCACAGGUCUGUCAGAAAUUAUCCUUUCCAGCUAUUUGAGACUGAGGAGGCGGAAGCUGUAGUCUACCUUCUUGAAUCACAAGGACAAUAAUGACAAAACACCAAAGCGGAGAGGACCAAUUUGGAAGAAAAUAGUUUCCCUGAAUUUGCAGAUGCUAGAUGCCAUCCUAGGAAAAUGUAAUGCGGGCUACAUUUCUGACACAGAUAGGCAGGCCUCACUGUGUCAGGCUGAAGUCAUGCAGUUUCUAGGCCCUACUCUGAAAAUUUAGUACAAGACAAAAAAAAAAAUUAAAUCCAUAAACUGGAGUCUCAGCAUGUCAAAACAUAAUAUAGAAUGCCUAUAGCCAAAAGAAACGAUCCCAAAUAAGUGAAUGAUUUCCUUUCUCUAUUUUAAUUUUGGGAAUUUUUUCAGCUUUUCCAUGCUCUUAAAAAUAUGCUCACUCACCUGAAACCCCAGCCAUGGAGCUUCAGAUGACUUGGCUGAUUUUAAAGAAAGCCACAUUGUUUGACACUAGUCACGUGGAAAGGUAGAAGUUGUCACCCUGUGACUGUUUUGACAAGUAGGACACAAUGAAAGUGUUUUACUGUAUUCUUGGACCCAGAUGUAAGAGACUGGAAACUUCAUAUUUGUCUUCCUUGGAAUAUUAGCGCUUGGAGCCCUCAAACCAUCACGCUGUGAAGAAGCUCAGACUAACAACAUAGCAAGGCCAAGUGGGGAGAAAGAAAGAUGAUAGAGAUAAAAGAGAGAGAAUGGACGGACAUACAUCCCAUCCCAGAUGUCAGGAAUGUGAGUAGACAGCAUCUUGAAUGUUCAACCCAGGAAAGUCUUCAUGUAGCUUCAGCCACAAUGGUUAUCUGACAGCAAUUAAGAGCAAGGGCUAGGGAUGUGGCUCAGUGUGUGGCCCGGGUUCGAUCCUCAACACCACAUACAAAGAUAUUGUGUCCGCCAAAAACUAAAAAAUAAAUAUUAAAAAAAUUCUCAAAAAAAAAAAAGAGUAAGGACCACCAAACUGAGCAGUGACUACCCACAGAGCUAUGGCAGAUACUUAUCCACUUUAAUUUUAUGCUCCAAAUUUUGGGAUAGAUUAUUAUGCAGAUGGUAAAUAUGGAAAAGACUGAAAACUUUAAGGCAUUUAAAAAUAAUUUUUUGGAUCCUUAUUUUCCUUUUUUUGAAAAGCUCUCAUUUUCUCAUCUCUACUUAAACUAA